UUUGAAAUCUGGCGUCUUUGGCGUCCGAGUUGUAAUUUGAAGAAGGUAUCUUUGGGCCCGGCUCUUGUCUAUGUUCCUUGGAACAGGACGUCACAGAGGGUGAGAAUCCCGUGCGAUGAGAUGACCCGGGUCUGUGUAAAGUUCCUUUGACGAGUCGAGUUGUUUGGGAAUGCAGCUCUAAGUGGGUGGUAAAUUCCAUCUAAAGCUAAAUAUUGGCGAGAGACCGAUAGCGAACAAGUACAGUGAUGGAAAGAUGAAAAGAACUUUGAAAAGAGAGUGAAAAAGUACGUGAAAUUGUUGAAAGGGAAGGGCUUGAGAUCAGACUUGGUAUUUUGCAUGCUGCUCUCUCGGGGGCGGCCGCUGCGGUUUACCGGGCCAGCAUCGGUUUGGACGGCAGGAUAAUGGCGGAGGAAUGUGGCACGGCUUCUGCUGUGUGUUAUAGCCUCUGACGAUACUGCCAGCCUAGACCGAGGACUGCGGUUUUUUUACCUAGGAUGUUGGCAUAAUGAUCUUAAGUCGCCCGUCUUGAAACACGGACCAAGGAGUCUAACGUCUAUGCGAGUGUUUGGGUGUAAAACCCGUACGCGUAAUGAAAGUGAACGAAGGUGGGGGCCCAUUAGGGUGCACCAUCGACCGAUCCUGAUGUGUUCGGAUGGAUUUGAGUAAGAGCAUAGCUGUUGGGACCCGAAAGAUGGUGAACUAUGCCUGAAUAGGGUGAAGCCAGAGGAAACUCUGGUGGAGGCUCGUAGCGGUUCUGACGU
rnacentral:rRNA from 1 species